UCUGGUUGAUCCUGCCAGUAGUCAUAUGCUUGUCUCAAAGAUUAAGCCAUGCAUGUCUAAGUACAAACCUUAAUACGGUGAAACCGCGAAUGGCUCAUUAAAUCAGCUAUGGUUCCUUAGAUCGUCUCAUCCUACUCGGAUAACUGUGGAAAAUCUAGAGCUAAUACGUGCUUACAAGCCCUGACCUCACGGGAGGGGCGCAUUUAUUAGAUCAAAACCAAUCGGGGCUUGCCCCGUCUGCUUGGUGACUCUGGAUAACUUUUGUGCUGAUCGCAUGGCCUCUGCGCUGGCGACGUAUCUUUCAAGUGUCUGCCCUAUCAACUUACGAUGGUAGGUGAUAUGCCUACCAUGGUUAUAACGGGUAACGGGGAAUCAGGGUUCGAUUCCGGAGAGGGAGCCUGAGAAACGGCUACCACAUCUAAGGAAGGCAGCAGGCGCGCAAAUUACCCACUCCCGGCACGGGGAGGUAGUGACGAAAAAUAACGAUACGGGACUCUUUUGAGGCCCCGUAAUUGGAAUGAGUACACUUUAAAUCCGUUAACAAGUAUCUAUUGGAGGGCAAGUCUGGUGCCAGCAGCCGCGGUAAUUCCAGCUCCAAUAGCGUAUAUUAAUGUUGCUGCAGUUAAAAAGCUCGUAGUUGGAUCUGAGGACUCGAAUUGGUGGUGCACCAUACGGUGUUACUGCCGAUUCGGCCUACCUAGUCGGUGCUCGCUCUUGGUGUUCUUAAUUGAAUGCCCUGAGUGCCCGGCAAGUUUACUUUGAAAAAAUUAGAGUGCUCAAAGCAGGCCAUUAGCCGGAAUACUUCAGCAUGGAAUAAUGGAAUAGGACUUCGGUUCUAUUUUGUUGGUUUUCGGAACCCGAGGUAAUGAUUAAGAGAGACAGACGGGGGCAUUCGUACUGCGGUGUUAGAGGUGAAAUUCUUGGAUCGCCGCAAGACGAACAACUGCGAAAGCAUUUGCCAAGAAUGUUUUCAUUAAUCAAGAACGAAAGUCAGAGGUUCGAAGACGAUCAGAUACCGUCCUAGUUCUGACCAUAAACGAUGCCAACUGGCGAUCCGAGAUCGUUUGCUUAUUGACCUCUCGGGCAGCCUCCGGGAAACCAAAGUUUUUAGGUUCCGGGGGAAGUAUGGUUGCAAAGCUGGAACUGUUCAAUUGCAACUCUGCCUGUGACACCAAGUGGUCGGGUUACUUGGUCUGUUCUGGCCCGGAGUCGGUAGGGUUUCCGGCCUUGUGCUCUUUCCUUACUGUUUCUCUGUAACGCCGAAGGCGGGGCUUCCACGGUGGGGAAGCGGUUGUACAAAUCCGGCAAAUCCAGCCAAAUGGGUUCCGGACUCUGUCCAACCUGCAACUGGUAACAGCCUCGGCUGGCUAACAUUUGAGCUGGGACUCGCUUGGGAGGAGCGAGGAUAAUAUAAACCUCUAUGUGACUGAGGUGAGGAAUCUGGUUCUCGUAAAAUGGCUGGAGAUCCCGAGCCUGUAAGUCAUAAAUUAGUUCCCCCACGAGGGGAGGUGUCGAAUUGAAGCCAGUGCGUGCCCUUACUAGUUUAAGGGAUUGUAUACUUCCUUUGGUGUACCCACCUGGAAGUGCCCAAGGGGUCCUAUCCCUGCACU
rnacentral:rRNA from 1 species